GCUUGACCCCUUGUCAGACCCAGACGCCGAACAAGAGGAAGAGGAGCCACCUAGAUCCCCACGAAUACCAAAACCAGUAUCUGAAUGGUGCCGAUGCGGGAACUGUGGUGCAAUGCCUACUGAACACGAGAGCUUGUGCUGUCAGGAGGUCCCAGAGGUCACAAGGCGCAUGGAGCAGGUGGAGGGCACUCAGCCUCAGUGUGUUAUCGACCAUCCUGGAUUUUAUGCCACGUCCCUCAAUGUGUAUGUGCUUCAAGCCAUGUACAACAUCUACAGAGCAGAUCAUGGACCAGUACGGCUACGGGGCAUAGAGCACCGUUACAGAUAUCUGGCGUACAGGAUGUUUGUCAGUUGGUGUUGGGGAUUCCUUGGGCUCCACAUAAGAGUCGUGGUUCCAUCAUGUGUCGUCCUGCGUGUUCGUCGGGAGUUUCCAGAUAGUCAACAGCAAUACAUGGGCUUCAGACUGCCUCCCCUGCGUUGAAGCGGAAGAUGCAGCUGGUGAUCACCCCCUCCUUCUCAGGCCCACGUCUUCAACGCAUCCUAUGCAAUGAAAGACAUGUUGUAUUUCUACUGUAUUUUCACAUUAAUUUUACUAAACUAUUCAAAGUGUAAAUUUCUUAUGUAAAUAUACUGUUUUAACUGUUUUAAUUCAGAUUA